rnacentral:lncRNA from 1 species
GUUUGAGCUAAAGUCAGAUGAAGAUUUAAAAGUCAUAUAGGGCACAUAUCACCAAUAUUAAAAAUGCUCGAUCAAGGUGGAUGCAACAAUUCCCGGAUCUUUUGACGAUAUUAGCAAGGUGUUGAAACAUCCUGAAUCAUAUAGCAGUGUUUAAGUUAUGUUAAUGUUAUUUUUAUGUUAUGUUGAGCAAUUUUCAUGUUAA